rnacentral:rRNA from 1 species
UGGGGAAUCUUGGACAAUGGGGGCAACCCUGAUCCAGCCAUGCCGCGUGAGUGAUGAAGGCCUUAGGGUCGUAAAGCUCUUUCGCCUGUGAAGAUAAUGACGGUAGCAGGUAAAGAAACCCCGGCUAACUCCGUGCCAGCAGCCGCGGUAAUACGGAGGGGGUUAGCGUUGUUCGGAAUUACUGGGCGUAAAGCGCACGUAGGCGGAUCGGAAAGUUGGGGGUGAAAUCCCGGGGGCUCAACCCCGGAACUGCCUCCAAAACUAUCGGUCUAGAGUUCGAGAGAGGUGAGUGGAAUUCCAAGUGUAGAGGUGAAAUUCGUAGAUAUUUGGAGGAACACCAGUGGCGAAGGCGGCUCACUGGCUCGAUACUGACGCUGAGGUGCGAAAGUGUGGGGAGCAAACAGGAUUAGAUACCCUGGUAGUCCACACCGUAAACGAUGAAUGCCAGUCGUCGGAUAGCAUGCUAUUCGGUGACACACCUAACGGAUUAAGCAUUCCGCCUGGGGAGUACGGUCGCAAGAUUAAAACUCAAAUGAAUU